rnacentral:tRNA from 1 species
GCAAGGAGUUUCAUGGGCACCAUCUUCCUCUAUCUUCCUCCAACUUCCUUCAAGUUCCCUUCACAGUGGAACACUCGAAAUCAGUUUGGCUGAAAGGCCACGUGGGUUCGAAUCCCACCCCCUGCGCCA